GACGAACGCUUCCUUCUUUCUUAACACAUUCAAGUCGAACGUAAAGGCCCUGCUUUUGUGGGGUGCUCGAGUGGCGAACGGGUGAGUAACACGUGAGUAACCUGCCCUUGACUUUGGGAUAACUUCAGGAAACUGGGGCUAAUACCGGAUAGGAGCUCCUGCUGCAUGGUGGGGGUUGGAAAGUUUCGGCGGUUGGGGAUGGACUCGCGGCUUAUCAGCUUGUUGGUGGGGUAGUGGCUUACCAAGGCUUUGACGGUUAGCCGGCCUGAGAGGGUGACCGGCCACAUUGGGACUGAGAUACGGCCCAGACUCCUACGGGAGGCAGCAGUGGGGAAUAUUGCACAAUGGGCGGAAGCCUGAUGCAGCAACGCCGCGUGCGGGAUGAAGGAAUUCGGGUUGUAAACCGCUUUCGCCUGUGACGAAGCGUGAGUGACGGUAAUGGGUAAAGAAGCACAGGCUAAAUACGGG
rnacentral:rRNA from 1 species